GACGAACCGUGCGAACGUUGUUCGGAAUUACUGGGCGUAAAGCGCGCGUAGGCGGAUCGCUAAGUCAGGGGUGAAAUCCCAGGGCUCAACCCUGGAACUGCCUUUGAUACUGACGAUCUGGAGAUCGGGAGAGGUUGGUGGAAUUCCGAGUGUAGAGGUGAAAUUCGUAGAUAUUCGGAGGAACACCAGAAGCGAAGGCGGCCAACUGGCCCGAUACUGACGCUGAGGCGCGAAAGCGUGGGGAGCAAACAGG
rnacentral:rRNA from 1 species